rnacentral:rRNA from 1 species
UACGUAGGGGGCGAGCGUUGUCCGGAUUUAUUGGGCGUAAAGAGCUCGUAGGCGGCUUGGCAAGUCGGGUGUGAAACCUCCAGGCUCAACCUGGAGACGCCACUCGAUACUGCCAUGGCUAGAGUCCGGUAGGGGACCACGGAAUUCCUGGUGUAGCGGUGAAAUGCGCAGAUAUCUGGAGGAACACCGGUGGCGAAGGCGGCAUCCUGGACCGAGAUUGACGCUGAUGCGCGAAAGCCAGGGGAGCAAACGGG